CAAAUCGAACGCACCAUCGUCUCCUCUUCGUUUCGCCGUCACCCAAAUCGCCCUCCCUCCCUGGUUUCUGCUAACCCUAGGCGAAGCGAAGCGAUGCGCCAUGCUCCGGAGCACUCGGAGAGGGAGGAGGCCAGCCGCCGCCGCUUGCGGAAGCGCCGCCGGGACAUGGACCGCGAGAUGAUUCCGCGGCGGAGGAGGCGGAGGAGGACGAGCACCAAAUCAGAUCAUCCGCCAUCCCCACCAUACGGUCACGGAAGGUCCGAUGCAUCGCCGGCUAGAAAACGCGCGCAGGGAUUGGGCAGCCUCCAUCCUCUCCCAAAACCUCGUCGCCUCAGCCUGAAGACGAGGAGGGGGACUCCGAGUUCGCCGCCGAAGUGAGCCGUCUCCGUGCUAGCAUAGCAGAGGAGAUGAGGGAAAUCCUUGCUGACCAUGCUGCUAUGGAGCUGCAAUAUGCUGAACACGUUUGAAGAAAAGCCGAGAUGCCCAGCCUUACAGUGGAGACAUAUUUUUGUGACAUCCAUGAUGGCAGUUCCCAGAGUUGUGAAGCUCGGAAAGUUGCUCUGCUAGCUUCAAAGUCGGUUGUCAGUCUAUCUGCCUUUUCAGAUGAGAAGAAGAUAAGAGUUUGUUCAGGAUUCGUGAUAGGGUCUAAUCGAUGUACAAAUACCAGCAAAAUAUUAACUUCGGCUACGCUACUUAGGACUCAUAGUUCUAGCGGAGUUAACUUUAUGGUUCCGGAUAUAAAGGUCAAGGUGUGUCUACCGAAUGGGCAUAUAUCUGAUGGCUUGGUGUCUAUGCUAGAUUUUCACUAUAACUUAGCUGUGGUUGAAGUGAAAUCUGACCAGGAACUUCCAGAGGCAAUUCUUGUGAGUGAAGUUACCAAAAGAGGAGCAGUCUUAGCGAUUGGACGUUUCUACGAUCAUGGUGGAAUGAUGUGUGCUCAGGGAAAAAUCACAAAACAAGCCAGUGCCUUUGAUUGCUCUGAGCUUUUUGUAUCAAGCUGCCAGACGACCAUGGCGGGUGUUGGAGGACCCCUUGUAAAUUAUAGUGGUCAUGUUGUGGGUAUCAAUUUCCAUGGAGAGAACAACACACCCUUUCUCUCAACGGCAAUUAUCGUAAGAUGCUUGGAACACUGGCAGAACUAUGGGCAGAGAAAUAAUUCGACCUUGGCUUGGAUUCAUGUACAGGUCCCUAGAUAUGUUACCACUUUGAAUUUUGGAGAAAUGUGAAUAUGCUGACGAGGGGUUUUACAUUUCAAAUGUGGCUGCGGGAUCACCAGCUGACGCAGCUGGGCUUUCCGUUGGCGAUGUUCUGAUCGAAUGUGCUGGAGAAGUUCUCUGUACUGCUCCGGAGUUCGGUGCAUUCUUGCUGGAUAUGUGCAAGGAACAGAUGGAGACAUAUAAUUCUGCUAGCAGUUUGACUGUAGAGGUUGUUGUAAGGAAGCAAAGAGAUGGCAGCAGAGAGAGGAAGAGAAUGAAAACGAAUGUUCUAAGAGAGCCCGAUUAUUACAGAUGGCCUGCUCCAUCGCCCAGCUACAAUCACAAGAUUGUGGCUAGAGAGUCACCUCUUCAAUUAUUAUAAAGCUCACUUACAGUCAAGCACACAAGCUGCCACUUGCCGUUCUUACUUUCUGCUUUGGGUCUUCACCCCAGCAACACCCGUUGUUUUGCUCCUCUAUGGCUAUAGUCACUCCUGAAGGACAAAAAUAUAUCCUCAGAGUCUUUUUGACUGAAAAUAUAUCCUUGGAAUAAACCAUCUAUACACUAACUAACGCAUGUAGAACUCCCAGAAUUCAUGCCAGUGUCUCAAGACAAAAUCCCAGGCCUGUUGCUUCCCUUCCUAGCCUUGCUAGUGGGUUACAAGUCCCGGCCGCUUCCACCAGCGGUGGUGGGCCACGGCAGACAAUGAAGCAAGCAAGGAGGACGGCGGUGAGGCUGAGCACGAAGAGACACACGGCGAAGGCCACCUUUCGUGAUGUAUUCCACUUCUGAGUUGAAUGACACGUCGUCGCCACCACCUUCCGCGAUGUCUUCCACUCUUCAUGCCCCUGUUCCUCCUCCUGACCUCCCUUGCCAACGGCAUUUUCUGUACUGCGUACGUCCUCAUCCGCUUCGACCUGGACAUCACUGAAACAAGGAAACGAAGUCUAGCUCUUGUGCACCACAAGGGAAUUAUCCUUCCUGCUGCGUGUACUGCUGUGAGCUAUCUGAAGAUCUUGCUCUAACACCAGCCCUGACCGUAGCAACGUCAAAGGUCAUAACAGAGUAUUUGCUCCGCGCCUCCGCGUGUACAUUUCAACAAAUUCUCAGGAGAAAAAAAUUAUACUGCUAAUUUAGGCAUAUAUAUGGACAUUAUGUGUAUUGUAAGAAAAGAGAUAAUGGUAUCAUCUCUUUUCUGUAAAGUGUACAUAUGGGCGUUUUUCUCAAAUUACUUGCAUAUAAAUUAACAUUUCUUAAUACCAUGAUUUUUUUUGUGACGAGUAA